rnacentral:lncRNA from 1 species
GCGACGGGUCCACCGGCAAACUGGGCGGCGACGGGUCCUCCACGCGCCUCCAGCACCUGCUGCGAGGUGGGCACCUGUGCGCCCACCGCGUAGGGGUACACGUUGUCGGUGCGCACCGACUCGACGACGCCAGCCUCGAUGCCCGUCAGCAGCGGCUGCACGAUCACCCGUGUGGGGAAGAAGCCCAGGCGUUCGCGGCUCGGUCCCAGCGAGAGCACAUAGUCAAAGUGCGACGUGUCGUAGCCGAUCACGCGACCGAGGGCAAGGGGCAGCGGCGGCGCGCCCGGCGCCAGCGCGGCCUCAAAGAGUUGCGUCUCGGGCCGGUACCAGACGAGGGAGUCGCCCUUAAGGCGAUAGGGUCCAUACUCAUCGCUGAACCAAUUCUGGCGGAUCUGGUAGCCGCUGGCGGCCCCACCCAAGGUGACGACCUCCCUCUGUUGCGCGCCAGGCUGGCCAGGGCGGUAGGGCGCCAGCAUGCCGACGGGCGUGGAGCCGGCCAGAAUAAACGGUCCGGGGAAUGCGCCCCGCUCGGCGGGCGCGACGAUGGGCAGACCCGGCAGCGGCGGGAACGGAAAGGUCACACGGGCACCCGCGAUCGUAGCACGCGGCGCGCGCUCCUGCUCCUCGGCGUAGAUUUCGCCAGCCCGCAUGGCACACUCGCGGCACACGGCGCCCACCGCCUGCGACUGACCCUGGAUAAAGGCCGAGUAGAACUCACUGGCGUCGGGGUCGGCCGACCAGGCGUCGAUCAUGCCCAGGAGCGCGCCCACGCCAUAGGCGUUGACGAGGCCGCGGUCUCUGAGCACGCGCGCCACUAUGGGGUCGCCGGUACCCGUGGGUGGUUGCUGCUCUUCCUCCUCAUCGCGCGACAACCGUCGUCGUCGGCUCGCGGGUUCGGCCGUCGGGCUCGUCGGUGCUCCGGGCAAGCCGUUGCGCUGAUAGUCUUGGAUGAGACCGAGCACAUGCUUCCGAUAGUCGUCUGCAUUACCGCCGGCCGCCUCCCACGCGUUCCAAUCUGGCGCCAGAUAAUCGAGCACAUCCGAGGGUAUGGCAACCCUGGAGCGACAGAUGGCGCACACGUCGGGCGGCGGCACGAUUUCGACGGCCUCGAUGGGUUGGCGCGACAGCGGGCUCACGCGCGCCAGCGUCGCCAGGGCAAUGUUGCCCGGAGUCGGGUAUUGGGCAGCCUCUUGCGGCGUCAUGGCAGCGGCGGCCAGGGCACCGGCGUCGAGGGCGUCGCGGCGUCGCUUGGCCGACACGGCGCGUGGACCCUCGGCUUGCUGUUGCUGUUGUUGGAGGAUGGCCUCGCGCACGGUGGGCAAGGGCGUCGGCGGCGCCUCAAACACGCUAAAGCCUGCAGUCGAUGGGCGGUAGGACGGCUGUUGGACCGACGGCGUGGGUGGUUGUAGUUGCGGUUGUGGUCGUGGCGAUGGCGCACCAACAAUAGCAGCGGCGGGCGCCAAAGCAGCGGCCAGCGGGGCCUCGGCGGUGGCGGCCUGGUUGGGUCCCACGACGAUGGUCGAGAGGCCCACGGCGUUGAGGUCGCCGCGCGCUCGUGCACACGGAUCGCUGGCCGAUCCAAGGGCGGGCGCCGCGGUCCACGGGUAGGCCGACGGGUCAUAGUCGCGCUGCCAGUUGGCCACCUGGGCGUCGACCGUGUCGCCGGCAAUGGGCAGCAGGCCAACAACCAUGCGACCAAUGGCGUCGGCCACGAGGUCUGCGGACAUGUUGUCGGCCCCCUGUGGCAGGCUAAAGUAGGCCAGCGGGUCCAGCCACCACCACCGAUCGAGGAUAUCCGACGCGCCGCCGUCGCCAAUGACCAGUCGGUAGUAGGGCCACGGCGCCCCCUGUGUGUCGUUCCGUCCAUCGAGGCGAAACAGGUACUCGGCGACGGCAGCCGGGAUCGCGCGCUCAUAAUAGGAAUCAAGAGACUCGCCGGCAUCUGGCGCCGGCAACGGCUUCUCCAGAUCGAGCACGCCCGUGAGGGCCGCCGCGAGGCCCGCGUUGGAGGCGCGCGGAUCGCUCAUGCCGUUGGCCGCGGCCCAGGCGUCCAUCUGGCCGCCGAUCACGUUGGCAAAGUCGGUCUGUGCGAGAAACAUAAACACGGCAAAGGCCGCGAGGUUGCCGCCGGGGCCGUCCAUCACCGGUAUGCCGAUGGAGGCAGCGGCCUCGCGCUGUUCGGCCGAGCGCGCGCGAGCCUCGCUGACGACGCGCUCGUAAUAGUACAUAAAGGGCGCCACCAAGUCAUUGGCGACGAGGUCGGGGUCCGAGGAGAGCGCGUCGCAGAGGAAAAAGAGCAUUUCGGUGGGUCCCAGCGAGACAAAGUCAUCGAGGCCGCGGGCGAGCACGGCCUGCUCGAUUGUGUUGUAGGGCAGUCGCGCGGGGGCCUCCAUGGUUGUGGCUCACACAGCGACCGGUUGGGGGGCAAAGGUGGCAAAGAGAGGCACAGGCAAAAGAGGUGGCCGCGGCGACGCCAAGGGCAAGCAAACAGACACGCGGUCGGUCGGUCGGUCGGUCGGUCAGUCAGAGGAGGCGGAUGGUCGGGUCCGCUCGGAUCUCCUUUUCCCUUGUGCGGCGUCUGUGUUUUGGUGCCUCGACGGCUUUUUACGCGUCGACCACGCACGCCGUUGGUCGACUGAACCCUUUGCCUUUUUUAGACGACCCAACCGGCCGCUUUUUUUUGCCUUUUCUCAGCCACAGACAAGACAAAAUCGAUCAAGCCACGCAAAAAGCAAAAGCGAGCCGGCACGCCUGUGUCCCUUGUCUACGUGAUGAUGGUGCGUGCGCGCUUUUUGUCAAGACAGACAAGUCUAGAUGUCGCCGGGGGCAGCCGCGGCCGGUUUCCCCUCACGCCGUCGGGCUUUUGGCGUGCGCUCGGGCGACACGCACCUCCACAUGCUCCUCACCAUCGUCGCCGUCGACGCUCCCCUCUACGUCGCGGUGCUCUACACUUUUUCUCUUUCUUCUGUGUGCGUGCGCGAGUCUUUUUUCUGCAACCAACCACCUUUAAAAAAAAAAGAACAAGACAAAGGGCCGAAAUC